AUGACCUGAGCCGAAGUCGGACGCUCAACCGACUGAGCCACCCAGGCGCCCCAAGAGUGUUUUAUUUACCACCCAUCUAUUGAUAAGAGAUAGAAGACAUUGCUGGUGGAGAAGAUUUUGGCCAGUAUUUUCGGAUUUCAGGGACUAUGACUCUUCAAGAAGAAUAAAAACAGUGACACCUGAAUAAAGGCACCUGGGUGGCUCAGUUGUUUGAGCGUUCAACUC